rnacentral:rRNA from 1 species
AUACCGGAUAAUAUUUUGAACCGCAUGGUUCAAAAGUGAAAGACGGUCUUGCUGUCACUUAUAGAUGGAUCCGCGCUGCAUUAGCUAGUUGGUAAGGUAACGGCUUACCAAGGCAACGAUGCAUAGCCGACCUGAGAGGGUGAUCGGCCACACUGGAACUGAGACACGGUCCAGACUCCUACGGGAGGCAGCAGUAGGGAAUCUUCCGCAAUGGGCGAAAGCCUGACGGAGCAACGCCGCGUGAGUGAUGAAGGUCUUCGGAUCGUAAAACUCUGUUAUUAGGGAAGAACAUAUGUGUAAGUAACUGUGCACAUCUUGACGGUACCUAAUCAGAAAGCCACGGCUAACUACGUGCCAGCAGCCGCGGUAAUACGUAGGUGGCAAGCGUUAUCCGGAAUUAUUGGGCGUAAAGCGCGCGUAGGCGGUUUUUUAAGUCUGAUGUGAAAGCCCACGGCUCAACCGUGGAGGGUCAUUGGAAACUGGAAAACUUGAGUGCAGAAGAGGAAAGUGGAAUUCCAUGUGUAGCGGUGAAAUGCGCAGAGAUAUGGAGGAACACCAGUGGCGAAGGCGAUUUUCUGGUCUGUAACUGACGCUGAUGUGCGAAAGCGUGGGGAUCAAACAGGAUUAGAUACCCUGGUAGUCCACGCCGUAAACGAUGAGUGCUAAGUGUUAGGGGGUUUCCGCCCCUUAGUGCUGCAGCUAACGCAUUAAGCACUCCGCCUGGGGAGUACGACCGCAAGGUUGAAACUCAAAGGAAUUGACGGGGACCCGCACAAGCGGUGGAGCAUGUGGUUUAAUUCGAAGCAACGCGAAGAACCUUACCAAAUCUUGACAUCCUUUGACAACUCUAGAGAUAGAGCCUUCCCCUUCGGGGGACAAAGUGACAGGUGGUGCAUGGUUGUCGUCAGCUCGUGUCGUGAGAUGUUGGGUUAAGUCCCGCAACGAGCGCAACCCUUAAGCUUAGUUGCCAUCAUUAAGUUGGGCACUCUAAGUUGACUGCCGGUGACAAACCGGAGGAAGGUGGGGAUGACGUCAAAUCAUCAUGCCCCUUAUGAUUUGGGCUACACACGUGCUACAAUGGACAAUACAAAGGGCAGCGAAACCGCGAGGUCAAGCAAAUCCCAUAAAGUUGUUCUCAGUUCGGAUUGUAGUCUGCAACUCGACUACAUGAAGCUGGAAUCGCUAGUAAUCGUAGAUCAGCAUGCUACGGUGAAUACGUUCCCGGGUCUUGUACACACCGCCCGUCACACCACGAGAGUUUGUAACACCCGAAGCCGGUGGAGUAACCUUUUAGGAGCUAGCCGUCGAAGGUGGGACAAAUGAUUGGGGUGAAGUCGUAACAAGGUAGCCGUAUCGGAAGGUGCGGCU